rnacentral:rRNA from 1 species
AUUGAACGCUGGCGGCAUGCCUUACACAUACAAGUCGAACGGCAGCACGGGAGUAAUCCUGGUGGCGAGUGGCGAACGGGUGAGUAAUAUAUCGGAACGUGCCCAGUCGUGGGGGAUGACGCAGCGAAAGCUGUGCUAAUACCGCAUACGAUCUCUGGAUGAAAGCGGGGGACCGUAAGGCCUCGCGCGAUUGGAGCGGCCGAUAUCAGAUUAGCUAGUUGGUGGGGUAAAGGCCCACCAAGGCGACGAUCUGUAGCUGGUCUGAGAGGACGACCAGCCACACUGGAACUGAGACACGGUCCAGACUCCUACGGGAGGCAGCAGUGGGGAAUUUUGGACAAUGGGCGCAAGCCUGAUCCAGCAAUGCCGCGUGCAGGAUGAAGGCCUUCGGGUUGUAAACUGCUUUUGUACGGAACGAAACGGCGAGCUCUAAUAAAGUUUGCUAAUGACGGUACCGUAAGAAUAAGCACCGGCUAACUACGUGCCAGCAGCCGCGGUAA